UGUUCCAUCCUGCUGGCACAUCGUAUAACCAGCAAGAUAUUGCAUGUUUGCUAGCAGAAUUGAGUGGAGUGGGGGUUUAUUCGAUCGCCUCCAACUCCUCAGAAGGCAGCCCGCCCUCCGGCCUCUCUUUCUCCGCCUCCUCUUCAUGCAGAUCACUGGGGUCGGGGCCUGUUCCCGAGGGAGCCAUAUAUCCUCCGCCUCAGUCUCGACAGAGUUGUGAAAGAAGAAAAAGGAUUCUGCUAGUCUGUGGUACUUUCUUAAAACUGCAUUGGUGGUUAAGGGCUUGACCUGAGCCCUAGGACCAUGCCUCAGGACUACCUGGCAUGAUGACUCCUUGCUGUCCCCAGUCCACCUGGCCGUGCUGCUGCUCCAGUUUCAGCUGUUCUGCCUGCGGCUAUGGAACCCUGACCUGUUCACCGGAUGUGCUUGUUGCACCCUCGACAACUACUAUGAUUAUUAUUAUUUGACCAUGCUGGUCAUUUAUGAACAUUUUAACAUCUUGACCAUGUUCUGUUAUAAUAUCCACCCGGCACAGCCAGAAGAGGACUGGCCACCCCUCAUAGCCUGGUUCCUCUCUAGGUUUCUUCCUAGGUUUUUGGCCUUUCUAGGGAGUUUUUCCUAGGGAGUUUUUCCUAGCCACCGUGCUUCUUUCACAUGCAUUGCUUGCUGUUUGGGGUUUUAGGCUGGGUUUCUGUACAGCACUUUGAGAUAUCAGCUGAUAUACGAAGGGCUAUAUAAAUACAUUUGAUUUGAUUUGAUUUGAUAUUAUGGCAACUAGAUGGCAGCAUUGUAUGUGCAACGUUUUAGACUGAUCCAUUAAACCAUUGCUUAUCUGUCCAAAUGUUGUAUCAAGACUGCCCAAAUGUGCCCAAUUGGUUUCUUAAUACAUUUUCAAGUUCAUAAUUGUGCACUCUCC
rnacentral:lncRNA from 1 species